GCAGGUGUGGUGUAAUGGUACACGGUUGUCUUGAGUAGGGGCUAUCCAUGACAGGGUGAACAGCUAACCAGGUUCGACUCCUGGCACUGCA